rnacentral:rRNA from 1 species
GCUGGCGGUAUGCUUAACACAUGCAAGUCGAACGGUAACAUUUCUAGCUUGCUAGAAGAUGACGAGUGGCGGACGGGUGAGUAACGCGUAGGGAUCUACCCAGCUGCGGGGGAUAGCCCGGUGAAAACCGGAUUAAUACCGCAUACGACCUUCGGGUGAAAGGUUGCCUCUCCUUGGAAGCAAUCACAGUUGGAUGAACCUGCGUCAGAUUAGCUAGUUGGUGGGGUAAAGGCCUACCAAGGCGACGAUCUGUAGCUGGUCUGAGAGGAUGAUCAGCCACACUGGGACUGAGACACGGCCCAGACUCCUACGGGAGGCAGCAGUGGGGAAUAUUGCGCAAUGGAGGAAACUCUGACGCAGCAAUACCGCGUGUGUGAAGAAGGCCUGCGGGUUGUAAAGCACUUUCAGUAGGGAGGAAAGGUUUAGUGUUAAUAGCGCUAAACUGUGACGUUACCUACAGAAGAAGCACCGGCUAACUCCGUGCCAGCA